AUGGCAACGGGGAGCACAGCGUUGGCUCUCAUCGUCCUCGCCGCCUUGGUCUUGUCCAUGCUGCCUACCUCGCUCGCCGUCACCUCGCCCUACGUGCGGCCCAGGCCGAGGGCGAUGCUCUCCAUGCCCAAGGACGCCGGUGGUCAGACGCCGAUGCAGGUCCAUAUAUCGACUGUUGGCCAUGACGAGAUGAGGGUGACAUGGAUCACUGAAGACGAUGCACCGACAGUCGUGGAGUACGGCACGACCUCAGGCCAGUACCCAUUCUCAGCGACCGGAACCACCACGAGCUACUCGUACCUAGCCCUCUACCACUCGGGGAAAAUCCACGACGCCGUAGUCGGCCCACUGAAACCCAGCACAACGUACUACUACCGGUGCAGCUCCGACCCGUCGCGCGAGUUCUCCUUCCGGACGCCGCCGGCCAGCCUCCCCUUCACCUUCGUCAUCGUCGGUGACCUCGGACAGACCGGCUGGACCAAGAGCAAGCUGCAGCACAUCGCGGCCGCCGACUACGACAUGCUCCUCCUCCCCGGCGACCUGUCGUACGCCGACUUCCUCCAGCCGCGCUGGGACUCGUACGGCCGGCUCGUGGAGCCGCUGGCGAGCGCGCGGCCGUGGAUGGUGACCGAGGGCAACCACGAGAUCGAGAGGAUCCCGCUCCUCGAGCCGCGUACCUUCAAGGCCUACAACGCGCGGUGGCGCAUGCCGUACGACGCCGGCGACUCCCCGUCGGGGUCGAACCUCUACUACUCCUUCGACGUCGCGGGCGGCAUCGUGCCUGUCAUCAUGCUGGGCUCGUACACGGGCUUCGAGGCCGGCACGGCGCAGCACGAGUGA
rnacentral:rRNA from 1 species